rnacentral:lncRNA from 1 species
UCUAGAGGGGAGGUGAUCAGACUACUUGACAAGAUAAAAACUUAGCCUUUUCCCAAUUUUAACUGUGAGCCAGUUUUAACAAUUAUGACUAGUCAAGUACACCCUACACAUGCAUAUCUAAGAGUAUAACAGCGGAAAGUAAGACAUGCAAAUGUAAAGUAAAGGGUAAGGUACGGGAGGUCAAAUGUAACAUCCCAAAUUUC